CCUACGGGCGGCAGCAGUAGGGAAUAUUGCUCAAUGGGCGAAACCCUGAAGCAGCAACGCCGCGUGGAGGAUGAAGGUUUUCGGAUUGUAAACUCCUUUUGUUAGAGAAGAUAAUGACUGUAUCUAACGAAUAAGCACCGGCUAACUCCGUGCCAGCAGCCGCGGUAAUACGGCGGGUGCAAGCGUUCCUCGGAAUCACUGGGCGUAAAGCGCGCGUAGGCGGGAUAGCAAGUCAGAUGUGAAAUCCUAUGGCUUAACCAGAGAACUGCCUUUGAAACUGUUAUUCUAGAGUGUGGGAGAGGUAGGUGGAAUUCUUGGUGUAGGGGUAAAAUCCGUAGAUAUCAAGAGGAAUACUCAUUGCGAAGGCGACCUGCUAGAACAUAACUGACGCUGAUGCGCGAAAGCGUGGGGAGCAAACAGGAUUAGAUACCCCUGUAGUC
rnacentral:rRNA from 1 species